CCAGCUCCAAUAGCGUAUAUUAAAGUUGUUGCAGUUAAAAAGCUCGUAGUUGGAUUUCUGGUUUGAGCAUCCGGUCGACUCCUUAGUGAGUUUGUACUUAUGGAUGGUUGGGCCAUUAUUUUGUGAGGAUAUGUUUCUGCCAUUGAGUUGGUGGUUCUAUAGACUUGCAUCGUUUACUGUGAAAAAAUUAGAGUGUUUAAAGCAGGCGUGUUGCUCAUUUGAAUACAUUAGCAUGGAAUAAUAAGAUACGACCUUGGUCUUAUUUUGUUGGUUUGCAUACCAGGGUAAUGAUUAAUAGGGACAGUUGGGGGUAUUCAUAUUUCAACGUCAGAGGUGAAAUUCUUGGAUCGUUGAAAGAUGAGCUUAGGCGAAAGCAUUUACCAAGGAUGUUUUCA
rnacentral:rRNA from 1 species